CACGUAGGGCGCAAGCGUUGUCCGGAAUUAUUGGGCGUAAAGAGCUCGUAGGCGGUCUGUUGCGUCCGCUGUGAAAACUCGGGGCUUAACCCCGAGCCUGCAGUGGAUACGGGCAGACUAGAGGUAGGUAGGGGAGAAUGGAAUUCCCGGUGUAGCGGUGAAAUGCGCAGAUAUCAGGAGGAACACCGAUGGCGAAGGCAGGUCGCUGGGCCGAUACUGACGCUGAGGAGCGAAAGCGUGGGGAGCGAACAGG
rnacentral:rRNA from 1 species